GACGUAGGGCGCGAGCGUUGUCCGGAUUUAUUGGGCGUAAAGCGCGUGUAGGCGGCUUUGCAAGUCGGGUGUGAAAGCCCUCAGCUCAACUGAGGAAGUGCGCCCGAAACUGCAGAGCUUGAGUGCCGGAGAGGGUGGCGGAAUUCCCCAAGUAGAGGUGAAAUUCGUAGAUAUGGGGGAGGAACACCGGUGGCGAAGGCGGCCUUCUGGACAGUGACUGACGCUGAGACGGCGAAAAGCGUGGGGAGCAAACAGG
rnacentral:rRNA from 1 species